CGUGAAUUUGUCCCUGUUGCCGCUAGGCGCUGGGCCGCCACCAGGGGUCAGGGCGAAAGCCAGAUAUAAGAGCGUUCAGACUGGUCCAAUUUCCAAGCGUGACUUUGGCCCCCUGAGCGCCCUUUAAUUUCAGCACCGUCAAGGUCUCACUCUGUAAUUCAAGCUGACCUUGGACUCACAGCAAUCCUCUUACCUCAGCAAGAAAAUAAAAAGCUGUGGAUUCCUUCCAGACUAAUAUGGUUUGAUCAAGCAAGACCCCCUGAAGCUGAGACGAUACAGCCUUACAGACUACAAAAACAAGGACUUGGAUUGAUGGCUAGUACCUAAAAUUCAAGCGCUUGGCAGGUAGAGGCAGAAGGAUCUGGAGUCCAAGGACAUUUUCAGCUAUAUGAAAGAAAAACUGAAAACCCAACAUCACUUUUUGGAAUCUGAGAAUGCUACUAGUAAACCAC
rnacentral:lncRNA from 1 species